rnacentral:rRNA from 1 species
UACGUAGGGUGCAAGCGUUGUCCGGAAUUAUUGGGCGUAAAGAGCUCGUAGGCGGUCUGUCGCGUCGAAUGUGAAAACCCGGGGCUCAACCCCGGGCCUGCAUUCGAUACGGGCAGACUAGAGUUCGGUAGGGGAGUCUGGAAUUCCUGGUGUAGCGGUGAAAUGCGCAGAUAUCAGGAGGAACACCGGUGGCGAAGGCGGGACUCUGGGCCGUAACUGACGCUGAGGAGCGAAAGCAUGGGGAGCGAACAGA